rnacentral:rRNA from 1 species
GACCUCAAAUCAGGUAGGGCUACCCGCUGAACUUAAGCAUAUCAAUAAGCGGAGGAAAAGAAACUAACAAGGAUUCCCCUAGUAACGGCGAGCGAACCGGGAUGAGCUCAAAUUUGAAAUCUGGCGCCCUCCGGACGUCCGAGUUGUAAUCUAUAGAAGCGUUUUCCGUGCCGGACCGUGUCCAAGUCCCUUGGAACAGGGUAUCAAAGAGGGUGACAAUCCCGUACUUGACACGACGACCGGCGCUCUGUGAUACGUUCUCUACGAGUCGAGUUGUUUGGGAAUGCAGCUCAAAACGGGUGGUAAAUUCCAUCUAAAGCUAAAUAUUGGCGAGAGACCGAUAGCGAACAAGUACCGUGAGGGAAAGAGAAAAGCACU